rnacentral:rRNA from 1 species
AACUGCGGAGGGAUCAUUACACAACAAAAAUAUGAGGGUGUGGUUUGCUGGCACAGCGUCCGCCCCAAGUAUUUUUCACCCAUGUCUUUUGCGCACUUUUUGUUUCCUGGGCGAGUUCGCUCGCCACCAGGACCCAACCAUAAACCUUUUUUUAUGCAGUUGCAAUCAGCGUCAGUAUAAUAAUUCAAUUUAUUAAAACUUUCAACAACGGAUCUCUUGGUUCUGGCAUCGAUGAAGAACGCAGCGAAAUGCGAUACGUAGUGUGAAUUGCAGAAUUCAGUGAAUCAUCGAAUCUUUGAACGCACAUUGCGCCCUUUGGUAUUCCAAAGGGCAUGCCUGUUCGAGCGUCAUUUGUACCCUCAAGCUUUGCUUGGUGUUGGGCGUCUUUUUGUCUCUCCCCUUGUUGGGGGAGACUCGCCUUAAAACGAUUGGCAGCCGACCUACUGGUUUUCGGAGCGCAGCACAAAUUUGCGCCUUCCAAUCCACGGGGCGGCAUCCAGCAAGCCUUUGUUUUCUAUAACAAAUCCACAUUUUGACCUCGGAUCAGGUAGGGAUACCCGCUGAACUUAAGCAUAUCAAUA